rnacentral:tRNA from 1 species
GCCUAGGUGGCUCAGUCGGUUGAGUAUCAGACUUUGGCUCAGGUCAUGAUUUCAUGGUUCGUGGGUUCGAGUCCUGCUUUGGGCU